rnacentral:rRNA from 1 species
CACGCCAUAAACGAUGAGUGCUAGGUGUUGGGGGUCAAACCUCGGUGCCGCAGUUAACGCAUUAAGCACUCCGCCUGGGGAGUACGUUCGCAAGAAUAAAACUCAAAGGAAUUGACGGGGACCCGCACAAGCAGCGGAGCAUGUGGUUUAAUUCGAAGCAACGCGAAGAACCUUACCUGGAUUUGACAUCCCUCUGACCGUCUCCUAAUCGAGACCUUUCCUUCGGGGACAGAGGAGACAGGUGG